rnacentral:rRNA from 1 species
CACGUAGGCGGCCUGGUAAGUCAGAUGUGAAAGCCCGGGGCUUAACCCCGGAAGUGCAUUUGAUACUGUCAGGCUUGAGUAUGGGAGAGGGAAGUGGAAUUCCUGGUGUAGAGGUGAAAUUCGUAGAUAUCAGGAGGAACACCGGUGGCGAAGGCGACUUCCUGGACCAAUACUGACGCUGAGGUGCGAAAGCGUGGGGAGCGAACAGGAUUAGAUACCCUGGUAGUCC